GCGGGGAUAGCUCAGUUGGGAGAGCGUCAGACUGAAGAUCUGAAUGUCAAGGGUUUGAUCCAUGUUCACCGGA
rfam:Ipomoea nil DNA, scaffold: scaffold2752, cultivar: Tokyo-kokei standard.